rnacentral:rRNA from 1 species
AGCAGUAGCCGCGGGAACACGAAGGGUGCAAGCGUUACUCGGAAUUACUGGGCGUAAAGCGUGCGUAGGUGGUGGUUUAAGUCCGUUGUGAAAGCCCUGGGCUCAACCUGGGAAUUGCAGUGGAUACUGGGUCACUAGAGUGUGGUAGAGGAUAGUGGAAUUUCCGGUGUAGCAGUGAAAUGCGUAGAGAUCGGAAGGAACAUCUGUGGCGAAGGCGACUAUCUGGGCCAACACUGACACUGAGGCACGAAAGCGUGGGGAGCAAACAGGAUUAGAUACCCCCGUAGUCCCUGUCUCUUAUAA